GAUGAACGCUAGCGGCAGGCCUAACACAUGCAAGUCGAGGGAGAGGUUACCUUCGGGUAACCAAAACCGUCGCACGGGGGCGUAACGCGUAUACAAGCUUCCUUUCACAUAGGGAUAGCCCGAAGAAAUUUGGAUUAAUACCUAAUGGUAUAUAAAAGCGGCAUCGUUUUUAUAUUAAAGCUACGGUAGUGAAAGAUGAGUAUGCGUUCUAUUAGCUAGUUGGUGAGGUAACGGCUCCGCAAGGCGACGAUAGAUAGGGGUUCUGAGAGGGAUGUCCCCCACACUGGUACUGAGAUACGGACCAGACUCCUACGGGAGGCAGCAGUGAGGAAUAUUGGACAAUGGUCGGAAGACUGAUCCAGCCAUGCCGCGUGCAGGAUGAAGGUCCUAUGGAUUGUAAACUGCUUUUGUAAGGGAAGAAUAAGAGCUACGGGUAGUUUGAUGACGGUACCUUACGAAUAAGCAUCGGCUAACUACGUG
rnacentral:rRNA from 1 species